rnacentral:rRNA from 1 species
AACCCUUGUCCAUAGUUGCCAGCACGUAAAGGUGGGAACGUCUAUGGAGACUGCCGGUGACAAACCGGAGGAAGGUGGGGGAUGACGUCAAGUCAUCAUGGCCCUUAUGGGCAGGGCUACACACGUACUACAAUGGUCGGUACAAAGGGCUGCCAACCCGCGAGGGGGAGCCAAUCCCAGAAAACCGAUCGUAGUCCGGAUUGGAGUCUGCAACUCGACUCCAUGAAGUCGGAAUCGCUAGUAAUCGCAGAUCAGCAUGCUGCGGUCGAAUACGUUCCCGGGCCUU